rnacentral:lncRNA from 1 species
CUGUGGUUCUUUUGACUCUGUAAGAUUUCAGGCUGUGAGCCAUUACUUCUGUCAGCCUGGACGUUUUUUACAUUCUGCUUCCAAUUUCCAACAUAAGCCAAGCUUGUGAAAAUUAUGCAUUAAACAAGAUUCAUAUCAUGAGGCUUUGCAGUAACUCUCUCGGCCACUAGAGGUCUACCCCCCAUUCAUGGGUUCACUGCUGGUCUGUCCUGAGUUCCAUGCUUAAAACAAACCAAAUACAUAAGAUAAUGCAAUGAUUUCCCUAACUUGGUAUUCAGAGCUGUCCACAGUGCAGUUCAGAUCCACAUUUCUAACCUCCUGGUCCACUAUUUACCACAUACAAACCAUCACUCCCAGACAAAGCAUAUUCUACUGUUUCCCAAAUUGGGCCUUGGGCCUCUCCAUCUCUGUGCAUUAACACACACUAUCUGCCUCUACUAAUAAACUGACAUCCCCUACACAUAAACAUACACACACACACAAUCCCCAAUCUGUACCAAUCCCUAAUGAGUGCUAUACUACAUGUGACAGAUCUCAAACGAUUACUUGUACCUUGAUUUAGCACAGACGCUUUGCCUCUCCAAUGGGACGGUGAUCUCCUGAAUCCACAGAGGUCUUUCUAUCCCACAUGAGUGCCCAAGAGCAAUAAAAGGAAGGUCUGACCAUUUAUUGAGAAUCUCAUAUGUACCCAGCACACUGCUGGCCAUUUUAUAAUCUUGACCGAUCUGCCUAUUAGAUGAACAACUCCACUGCCUUUGCAGAAAUUGAGCCUUGAGGACAUAAAAUUAUUUAUCCAAGGUCACACUGUAAGUAAAGCAAAAGCCAGAAUUCAAAGCCAGGUGUGACCCCAAAAGCCAUGUAUUUUUGCCCCAAUGAAUCACAUCUAUUUAGCAUCACACAUAAUACCUCUUUAAUAAAUAUUUAGGACUUGCUUGAAUAGUAAAGGUGCAGCUUGUGCUGAGUAUCUGGCAAGAUUAGACCACCAACCGACCAAUACCACGUGUCCCCAGUCCACAGACCCCUUGAGUCUUCACGUGACAACUCAGGCAGCUUAGCAGCCCCCAAACAAGCCAAGGCUACUUAAAGAUGGAAAAGCCUCUUUCUCUGGCUGGAGCAGCUCUGCAGACACUCUGCCUAGCCCACCCCUGUCUACAGGCUGCAAGGGAUCUAAUGAUCUUCUCAGAUGAAAACCGGGGAGGUGAGAGCCACAGAGAAGUGACAAGGCAACUGUCAAAGAGUCCAUGGAGGCUCGCAAGCACAUUUUCCCCGCGAGGAGCUUUACAGUUCCAGCAGCACGCCGAUUCUCCGAUUCAGUUAGCCAUAAUAUUAUGAAAGACGCUGCAAACAACUGGAUUUCAUUUCAAACAGCAUAAAUUAACAAAUUGCACAUGUGCACACAGCAUCUGCUAACCUAAUAAUUAAGAUAUUUUAAAAGUCACCUAAUGGCACCAAAGUCAGGAAUAAUGGGAUAAUUGUUACAGUGCUUUAAAAAAAAAAUUUAAAGACAUAUAAUCCAGUCACCCAUGGAGCGCACCAAACGGAAGGCUGCUUUUUCAUGGUCUCUUGGAGCCCCGUGUUUGGAUUAGCGUGAUGUGAAAGGCAGCAACUGCUGUUAUGUAACUAAACCCUGCAUAUACAGUUGUCAGUCUGGGUAAAUUUAACUCUGCAGGUUUAAGGCAGAGCUGGCUUGCCAGAGCAGAACUUAGGAAACAAGGAACAUUUAAAGACACACUGCCCCGUGGACCACGGGGGGCAAGCUGGCCCGGGCGCUGCUGGAGAAGGCCAGCGCGGCCUGCCUGUGCCAUGCCAGGGCGCUAGCCCCCCACAAUAGCUGCUUUGAAAACAAUGAGGGCUGACAAGAGCAUGGUUGUUCAAUUACCAAGCUGCCUGCAUUUUCUCUCUCCCUCCAUGGCAAUAAAGGCACUUAGGGGGCCUACUGUAGUUUGGAAGGAAAGGCACUGAAACCCAGAAUCAGGGGGAGGCUUUAAAUAACAGGUUGCUUUGCAGCAGCAACACAGUGGAUCCACAUCCCCAGGCAAGCGCUCCACUGAGGCCAUGGCCUGGCCGAGGCUGCCAAGGGCAGAGCUGUGGCCUGCAUUCCAGGCCUGGCCGGGCACUUCCAGCCGUGUGGUUCAGAAGGACCCCCACUCGGAGGUCACUGCCUUGUGCCUCAGCUUCGCCAGCUGCCAACUAAGGAUCAGCAUUAACUCUCCAGGGGGUCCUUCCAAAUCUAUCGUCUGCCCCUACCCCCACCCCCACCCCAGCUUUAUGGGCAGGUCUUUAUUCAUUACAGAUAAGGAAUCACUCUGCAGGGGGACUCUCAUUCUAAACUGGGCUAUGUCAGGUGAGGCCAAGAGAAGAACGUCACUGGGAACUGUCAAGAUGUCAAGAAAGAUAAAUGCACGGACCAUGUUUCCCAUUGUCACUCCCCAGCAGAACUCAUUAUGAAGUGGGUCUGCCCUGGAGCCCAUCCAAAGAGCCUUGGUGAAGAGGCUCCCCCAAUAAGAUGGUCUCCCUGUGCGUUUCCCAUGACCUGAUGGUGAGGGGUAUGGCCAGGAGAGACCCCACUACCCCAUAGGGAGCACAAGUGAGGCUUGAGAGCUGUGCCGGUUUGUCUGUUGUCUGUUUUGUGGGGUGUAAGGGACACAUUCUACACGGACAGAGUAGGCUGGAAGAGAUGCUGAAAAAACUCCCUGCAUGGAGAUUUUCCAUCCUGUUUUAUAAACUCAACGGGGCGAGACUAAGCAAGCCAGCGAGCUCCUCACCUCAGGCACAAAAAUGUCAAGGAGGCCAAAAAACCUAGUGAUCAAGAUAAGUAAUAUUUUAAUACAGGGGUGGGGGAAGGACAAAUCGGGAACUUGGAAUUAGUAGAUGCAAACUACUACACAGAGAGAGGAUGAAUGGCAGGGUCCUACUGCAUAGCAUGGGGAAGCACAUUCACUAACCUGUGACAAACCAUAAUGGAAAAGAAUAUGAAAAAGAAUGUGUAUAUAUGUAUAACUAAAUUGCUUUGCUAUGCAGCAGAAAUUAACCCAACCCUGUAAAUCAAGUCUACUUCAAUCAAAUAAGUUAAAAAAUAAGAAUAAUACUUCGGAGUUCCUGUUGUGGCUCGGCAGGUUAAGAAUCCGACUAGGUUCCACGAGGAUGCGAGUUCAAUCCCUGGCCUCGCUCAUUCGGUUAAGGAUCUGGUACUGUCGCAAGCUGUGGCAUAGGGGACAAAUGUGGCUCCAAUCUGGUGUUGCUAUGGCUGUGGUGUAGGCCUGCAGCUGCAGCUCUGAUUUGAUCACUAGCCUGGAAACUUCCCUCUGCUGCAGGUGCGGUUCCCCAAAACAUAAAAAAUAAAAAAUACUAACAAUAUUUUAAUACAAUACUUUAUUGAAGUUGUUCGGGAAAAAAAUAUCAUGAGAAAAAUAUCAGAAUCUUAAAUAGAGUGAGGAGCAGAAUGGUAAUGACCAGCCAGCCAGAUUCUUCUACAAGAGAAGGUCUAGUUCGUGUGAAAUAAACUACUACAACAUCUUCUGAUCCCACUUUAAAUUUAGAUCUAGGAAAAUAACCAGGGGAAAUUACCGCUGAUGACUGAUCCAUGUUUUCAUCUCUGUCACAUCCACAUCUGCAUUUGCUAAACAUUCUGAUCAUGGAUAUUCGGGAAUGAGCACUGUUUUGCAGAAUCGUGCUAGUGGGAUAUGUCAGUAAAAGGGGACUGGGCAUCUAUCUGCUGAGGCCAGACUGUGCAGAAAUUCUCAAGGAUGACUCCCAGCAAAGUCUGUGUCCUGGAAGGAAAUAUUUUCCAAACAAGAUUUAUUCUACAAUGACAAUUCUUUAAAAAAAUUGCUAUUCUAGCCUUGAUAAAGCUUUGGCCUGCAUUAUAUUUUCCUUUAAAAAGAAAGGACGGUUCUAUAUGUAGCUGAAGGUUUACUUUUUGGAAACCUAAUUCUGACAACACCACCUCUCACUGGCUCCCAACUGCCUACAGACUUAAAUUCAAAUUCCAAAGCCCAAAGUAAUCAAGAGCCUUACUCUCUGCACGAAUUCUACAGGAUUUGCCUUUAUUCCCCUUUCGUCCGGCCUCGUGCCAGGAGGCCUGUCCGUUUGCCCAUCUCAGCUUUCCAGCUCUCCUGCCUCUGCCUACGCUGUAGCCCCCUAGCAGCAGAAACCCCCUUCUCUCACCUGCCCAACCAGCUCACCUUCUUUAAAUCUUAUUUAUUCCUCCAAUCUCAAUUCUGUAUCUGCCUUCUCCACGAAGCUCCAGAGCUCUGCUGGGUGCUAAAGUGUAGGUAGUAAGAAAGAGCUCCAAGUCGCUUUUGGCUUUCAGUUUAACCCCAAAUUAACAAAAACACGUAUUUGGCCAAAAAUGCCCCAGUGUCGAAGCAUGCUGAUUCUUCCUUCUUUGCCCUCGGGAGUAGCACCGUUGAGGGAAGAAAAGAAAAAGAAAAAGAAUAAAGCUCCUUUUCCUCACUGAUUCUUCCUGGAACAAAGGAGGUAUUCAAUAAAUGAACACACAAACAGAUUCAACUUCUAGUGAAGAUGAAGUAUGGAAAAGAGGGUGUCCAGCAGGGCCAGAUACAGAUGCAA